AGGCGUGGACGUCAGCACAAUGCCUUUGUUUGGCGGCAUGUGGAUGACGUUCAUGUCCA
rnacentral:pre_miRNA from 1 species